AUGGCCAUUGCCAUGGCCUCGACCUCCUCCCCUGUAGCGGCCCUAAAGCACCCCCAUUUUCUAGACUCCAAGGCCCUGAAGUCUCUCAAGCGCGCGAGAACCCGUUCAUGCGCCCUCGCCGACGCUGACGCCGCCGCGGCCGCCCCCCGCACGUUCCAAGCGGAGCUCCGGCCGGACUCGAAAAACGCGCCCGCGCUCUCCGCUGAGAUCCGCCGUCUCGUUCGUGCAGGCCGCCUUCGCUCUGCGCUCUGCCUCCUCGACCAUUUAUCCCACCGCGGCGUCCCGGCGAGCCCCUCAGCCUUCACUGCUCUCCUCUCCGCAUGCCGCUCCCUCGCCCACGCCCGUCAGAUCCACGCCCACCUCCGUGUCCACGGCCUUGACUCCAAUGAGUUUCUCCUAGCCAGGCUCGUCGAGGUUUAUCUUGCGGUCGGUGCUGCUGAGGAGGCCCGCCAGGUGCUCGGCGGUUUGCCCAGGGCCAGUGCCUUCUCGUGGAAUGCUUUGCUCCACGGGCACGUUCGCAGGGGCCGGAGAGAGGCAGGGGAUGCUGUCGCUGGCGGGUUUGUGGAGAUGCGUGCUGCUGGGGCUAAUGCCAACGAGUACACGUACGGCUGUGUCCUCAAGUCCAUCUCUGGGAGUGCCAGGCCAUCCAUGGUCAUGGCCACCGCCACACACGCCAUGCUGGUCAAGAACGCAUUUGCAGGUGCGCCGGGCAUGCUGAUGACUGGCCUCAUGGAUGUCUACUUCAGGUGCGGGAAGGUGAAGCUGGCGAUGAUGGUGUUUGAGGAAAUGCCAGAGAGGGAUGUCGUUGCAUGGGGGGCAGUGAUUUCUGGGUUCGCACACAAGGGGUUGAAGAGGGAGGCACUGGAGCAUUUCCGGUGGAUGGUGGAAAACGGAGUCAAGGUGAACUCGGUGGUGCUCACCUCAAUCGUGCCAGUUAUUGGUGAUAUACGUGCACGGAACUUAGGGAGGGAGAUUCAUGGGUUGGUGCUGAAGAAGUUUCCAGACCGUAAAGAUGUAGCAAAGGUCCACGCAGGGCUGGUAGACAUGUACUGCAAAUGCGGCGAUAUGGUCUCUGGGAGGCGAGUGUUCUAUAGCACCAAGAAGAGGAAUGCUGUCUCAUGGACAGCAUUAAUGUCUGGGUAUGCAUCCAAUGGGAGGCCAGAUCAGGCGCUGAGGUGCAUAGUUUGGAUGCAGCAAGAAGGAAUCCGACCAGAUCUCGUUGCGGUUGGUACUGUUCUCCCAGUAUGCACAAAAUUGCGAGCAUUGAGCGAGGGGAAGGAAAUCCAUGCAUAUGCUUUGAGGAGGUGGUUCCUGCCAAAUGUCUCAUUAUGCACUUCGCUCAUCACCCUGUACGGUACAUGCUGUCAUUUAGAAUACUCUCGCAGGGUGUUUCAUGCUAUGGAUAAGAAAACUGUACGAGCUUGGACUGCAUUGGUUGAUGCCUACCUAAAGAACAGAGACUCUUCAACUGCUAUUGAAGUGUUCAGAUCAAUGCUGCUGUCGAACCGUCGGCCUGAUGCUGUUGCCAUCACCAGGAUACUGAGUGCCUGCUCUGAUAUUGGAGCAUUACAACUUGGCAAGGAAGUUCAUGGUCAGGUGUUGAAGUUGCGGAUGGAACCUCUCCCGUUAGUUGCCGCAGAACUUGUUAACAUGUAUGGCAGGUGUGGGGACCUGAAGGCAGCACAGAGGGUGUUCAAUCGAACAGACUCCAAGGGAUCCUUGACGUGCACUGCAAUAAUAGAAGCUUAUGCAAUCAACCAGCGGCACAAGGAGGCACUGGAUCUCUUUUCAUGGAUGCUGUCAAAUAACUUUGCCCCAACUAUUGUCACCUUCAAUGUGGUUCUGAGAAUCUGUGAUGCAGCAGGAUUGCAUGAUGAAGCUCUCGAGAUUUUCGACUCCAUGGUACAAGGGUACAACCUGGAAGCAUCUGAAGAGAAUUAUGACUGCAUCAUCAGCCUUCUUACUAGUGCUGGCAGGACUGCCGAAGCACAGCGUUUUGCUGAUUUGAAAGCUGCACUGUUUAGUUCACCUGCUCCUUUUUUGGAUUUUGAACAGCAGUAA
rnacentral:rRNA from 1 species